rnacentral:rRNA from 1 species
CCUACGGGUGGCAGCAGUGAGGAAUAUUGGUCAAUGGGCGAGAGCCUGAACCAGCCAAGUCGCGUGAAGGAUGACGGCCCUACGGGUUGUAAACUUCUUUUGUCAGGGAGCAAGUGGGACCACGCGUGGGCUUAGCGAGAGGACCUGAAGAAAAAGCAGCGGCUAACUCCGUGCCAGCAGCCGCGGUAAUACGGAGGAUGCGAGCGUUAGCCUGAUUUAUUGGGUUUAAAGGGGGCGUAGGCGGAAUAUCAAGUCAGCGGUACAAAUUCGGGGCUCAACCCCGUCGUGCCGUUGAAACUGCUGUUCUUGAGUGGGCGCGAAGUAUGCGGAAUGCGUGGUGUAGCUG